GCGCGUCGGUCUCCUUCUUCGGAAUCGUCUCUCUCGCCGGCGCCUCCUUGGAGGACGAUGACAGGAUUGAACGAAGGACGACGGCUGGAUCUACGGCGUCUAAUCACGGAUCUACGUGUGCUAUCGAUCGAUCUAACUUCAGUGGGAGGUGGAGUCGCUAAUUCGACGGCGGCGGAGGAGGAAUCGGUUACCUCUUCGAUGAAACCACCGUCGCAGUGGGGGCAAGCGACGCUGCCUUGUUCAGAUUCAGACCAGACGCUGACGAAUCGCGUGCAGCUGUAGCACCAAUACGACGCAGUGGCCGGCGGUGUUGUAAUUGUCGUUGACGGCGACGGCGACGAUGACGGCAUCUUCUGACUCCGUGAGAGGAAUCUCUGACCAGAGUUAAAAUGAGAGAGAGAGGUUGAGAUGAGAGAAUGUAAACGUAGCUUUUAAGGCGUUCGUAGGAGCGGAAUUAACGGCGUCGGAUUAGACGGUGAAUAGACACGUGGUAAGUGUUUGACUGGGUGGGAGAUAGCGGAGUUAUUGACGGACGUUAUGUAUAGAGGAAGGAGCGUUCAAACGUGUUUGACCCAAACGCGGAAAGUGGAAACGCCGAGAAAAUUCAAAAGAAGCGCCGUGUCUGACUUAUGUGGGAACACCCAUUUGAUCUCCGUUUCUUCUGGGAAAAAGCCACCCAACGACAUCGUUUCGGUUUGUGAAUUAUGCCAGAAACAAAGCGUGCUGACUGCUUAAUAAUAUAGUCCUUUUUUGUAUUAAUUUAAAAUGUUGUAGUUUACAUUUGUUGUUGUUAGUUACAUAAUUUGUGACAUAUGCUAUUAUGUUUGGCAAUGAUGUGGAGGGUAGAAUCUUUAGAAAAUUAGAUUUUCUUACACGUUGAUGGCUCAAACAAAUUAUUGGUGCCAAGUUGAUAAAAUAUCACACAAGAACCAACUUGUAUCUAUAAAUCGUUUUUAUUAUUAAAAAUGAAAUGAAAAGACUAAAAGUUGCUCAACUAACUAUUGUCUCUGUGUUUCUCUCAUUUGUUUGCAAGCAUUGACAAUAAACAAAUCGCAAUUAUAGCAACUGAUUACCACAACUUCUCGUCACACAAGAAACACAAAACCUGGUGUGAAAACCGUUUGCUAAGCACAACAAUAGGGUGAAACAUGUUCAUUUGUGAAAACAUUUCCAUUUUCUACUGGAAUAUUGAAUCAAAUCAAAUUGACUGUUACAGACAUAAACGGAAGACCAUCAACAACGGCUUCAAUUGGUUUGUCCCUUUUCUUAUGGCUAAAAUUAUGAAAACAAUGAUCUAUGAUCCCUCUGAAACCAACAAUGGCAGCUCGGAAUCUAAACCAGAACUGAAAAAAUGCCAGCUUGAAUCAUGAAACGCUGGAAAAUAAUCAUCGGCUACCGUUUCAAUGGCAAACUCACGAGUGAUCCUUCUUGCAGCUAUGAUCCGUUUAGUGGCACGGAUGACUUCCGGGUCAACAGUCACUUGCUCCUCGUACAUCUGAAAGCUGUUCCCAAACAACGCGAUUCUGCACAAUCGAUCCACUCUCCAGUUAGCUUGCAACAGGUUGUUGUACAGAUUGGCCUCACAGUGCGGCAUGAAGAAAAGAGUAGGCUUCAAAGCUUCCCUCCGAGCUUGCUCGUUCACAGACAGAACAGUGCAUCCCAUAGAUUCUAGGACACUAGAUUCAGUCGCGGAGAGGAUAGGGUCGAAUACUUCAAUGUUACCAACCCAAUGAAACUCUCUCUUCAUCAAAACCGCAAUGCUCAGCUGAAACCUCGGAGAUUCAUAAGCUUCGAUGCUUCCUAUACCAUACACCACCAUCUGAAGCUGUGUUUCAGUGCCUAACACGAGGCGAAACUGGUCUGAAACUUUGAUAAGGUUUAGCUACCUCGAUCUAGAGAACUCUGUAAACUUCUUUAUAAAUUUGAAAUGAGAAAAGGAACACAACUUUGAGUAUGAAAUCUACAACACUCUCAUGGCGAGAAUUGCAGAAGUCAUCAGUCUCAUAGCGACUGUAAAGUAUUGACUCAUGGCGUCAGAUACAAUUAACAUCAAAGCAUGAAGAAGAUAAAAUGAACUUGACAAGUAUUUAUAAGCUGAAUUCAUCUAACUGCAAAGCCUCUGUGAGAUACAGAAGGUCUUCUCUUUUAUUUAAAUUCCCACUCCAACGUUCCCUUCCACGUCAGCCUCACUCUGUUUCCCUCCUGACGCCUUCUUCUUGCGAAAAUAAGUCUUUUGAUACUUAUCAAUACCUCGCCCUUCGAAACCGAGCUUGCCCUCAAGCUCGAAAGAAGGAAAACACGCCAUAAACUCCUUCGACAGCAUCCAAGAAUCAUCUGCAGCAUCCUUCCCUUUCCAAGUCACCAACAACUCCAACUCGCCAUCCACAGAAUAUCGUUUAGCCAAGACAUCCAAAGGUUGCAACGGUGCUUCUGUCUCUGUUGAAAACACAUAUUUAUGUUAACUCAUCGUUCGACAAAUUUUUUGACCGGGUCAAACCGUUUCGAACCAAAAUCUAAAUGUGCCGUCGAGUCGAGGUAUGCAUUAAAAAGGGACUUGCAGUUGAAACUGAAUUCAAAUUGGGCAACUUAACCAUCAAGACUUUUGUCUUCUUUUCUCAUUCCUAUGCAUCUCUUUCGUAGCUAGGCCCACUCUUAGCAUCCGAGGAAAAAAAAAAGGCUUAAAGAGCAAGCAUUCUUUACUUUCUCGGAAACCAAAACAGCCAAAAUCUCGGGAAAACUUUCGAGGAUCUGAGUCCAAGACAACAGCUAAAGGAAAAAAAAUGAUGAAAGUUGAACGAAAACAUUAGACAUUUUGAUGUAACGUAAUAUACGACGAAUCAAUCGAAUUGUAAAAAAUAAAAAAGGAUCGUUCCAAUCUUAACUUCUUCUGAAUCCUUAUAUUUACAUUUUGUAGAAUGAACAAACAUAUAUAUAUUAUCAUCAAUGUAGAACUGAAGAAUCUCUGUUACUUCUGUUUCUCCCGAAGUAUCUUCUCAUCACUGAACUCGACCGUUCCAAACCCCUAGGUUCUACUCCAAUGUCCAAAUUCACACGAUUCGACGAAGAGGAAUUAGAGCCACGGUUCGGUCUCACUCUCCUCAUCAACGACACCAUUCCCCGAACCAUCCUUCUCAAUCUACCUCCCGAGCCGGAGGCACCACCAUUGCUACUAUCCGACUCCACUGUCCCCUGUGCUCUAACCCACGAGAUCCGUCUCGGACCCUCACUGUUCCCACUACCAAUCCCACCACCAUCCAUCUCCGUCAACACCACAGGCAACACUCUCUCCCCCUCUCCCAUCGCCGCAUUAAACCUCCCGACCGCGAAUCCCCCUCCGGGAAGCCUCCAUAUCGUCAUCCCCACGGCGUUAUCACCCUCCUCGUUGUUGCUGCUGCUCCGUCUGUUAGGCUCCGAAGGUAGCUCGAACCGGCAGACCGGGCACGAGUUUCUGAUCGAUAGCCACGGCGUGAUACAGUCGUCGUGGAAAAUGUGUUUACACGGCAUCUCACGCGCCUCCGUCUCCGCCUCGAAAACCUCAGUGCACACAGCGCAAUUCGCCUCCGAGCUGAUGUGACAAUCGGAGAUUUCGACUCUCGGCAACGACUCAAUCGCCGAUUUCGACGCCGGAGGGUUUCCAGAUCUGCCGAUUCCGGCUCCCGACGCCUCGAUCUGACUUAGCUGCUCGAGCAACCGCUCGAACCCGGAUCCCAUCAGGAUCUCGGAUACUGAAUCCGGAAGGGGACGAAGACCCGAUCCGGAUCCGUCAUCGUAGUAAAACUCGAAAGCGCGUCGGUCUCCUUCUUCGGAAUCGUCUCUCUCGCCGGCGCCUCCUUGGAGGACGAUGACAGGAUUGAACGAAGGACGACGGCUGGAUCUACGGCGUCUAAUCACGGAUCUACGUGUGCUAUCGAUCGAUCUAACUUCAGUGGGAGGUGGAGUCGCUAAUUCGACGGCGGCGGAGGAGGAAUCGGUUACCUCUUCGAUGAAACCACCGUCGCAGUGGGGGCAAGCGACGCUGCCUUGUUCAGAUUCAGACCAGACGCUGACGAAUCGCGUGCAGCUGUAGCACCAAUACGACGCAGUGGCCGGCGGUGUUGUAAUUGUCGUUGACGGCGACGGCGACGAUGACGGCAUCUUCUGACUCCGUGAGAGGAAUCUCUGACCAGAGUUAAAAUGAGAGAGAGAGGUUGAGAUGAGAGAAUGUAAACGUAGCUUUUAAGGCGUUCGUAGGAGCGGAAUUAACGGCGUCGGAUUAGACGGUGAAUAGACACGUGGUAAGUGUUUGACUGGGUGGGAGAUAGCGGAGUUAUUGACGGACGUUAUGUAUAGAGGAAGGAGCGUUCAAACGUGUUUGACCCAAACGCGGAAAGUGGAAACGCCGAGAAAAUUCAAAAGAAGCGCCGUGUCUGACUUAUGUGGGAACACCCAUUUGAUCUCCGUUUCUUCUGGGAAAAAGCCACCCAACGACAUCGUUUCGGUUUGUGAAUUAUGCCAGAAACAAAGCGUGCUGACUGCUUAAUAAUAUAGUCCUUUUUUGUAUUAAUUUAAAAUGUUGUAGUUUACAUUUGUUGUUGUUAGUUACAUAAUUUGUGACAUAUGCUAUUAUGUUUGGCAAUGAUGUGGAGGGUAGAAUCUUUAGAAAAUUAGAUUUUCUUACACGUUGAUGGCUCAAACAAAUUAUUGGUGCCAAGUUGAUAAAAUAUCACACAAGAACCAACUUGUAUCUAUAAAUCGUUUUUAUUAUUAAAAAUGAAAUGAAAAGACUAAAAGUUGCUCAACUAACUAUUGUCUCUGUGUUUCUCUCAUUUGUUUGCAAGCAUUGACAAUAAACAAAUCGCAAUUAUAGCAACUGAUUACCACAACUUCUCGUCACACAAGAAACACAAAACCUGGUGUGAAAACCGUUUGCUAAGCACAACAAUAGGGUGAAACAUGUUCAUUUGUGAAAACAUUUCCAUUUUCUACUGGAAUAUUGAAUCAAAUCAAAUUGACUGUUACAGACAUAAACGGAAGACCAUCAACAACGGCUUCAAUUGGUUUGUCCCUUUUCUUAUGGCUAAAAUUAUGAAAACAAUGAUCUAUGAUCCCUCUGAAACCAACAAUGGCAGCUCGGAAUCUAAACCAGAACUGAAAAAAUGCCAGCUUGAAUCAUGAAACGCUGGAAAAUAAUCAUCGGCUACCGUUUCAAUGGCAAACUCACGAGUGAUCCUUCUUGCAGCUAUGAUCCGUUUAGUGGCACGGAUGACUUCCGGGUCAACAGUCACUUGCUCCUCGUACAUCUGAAAGCUGUUCCCAAACAACGCGAUUCUGCACAAUCGAUCCACUCUCCAGUUAGCUUGCAACAGGUUGUUGUACAGAUUGGCCUCACAGUGCGGCAUGAAGAAAAGAGUAGGCUUCAAAGCUUCCCUCCGAGCUUGCUCGUUCACAGACAGAACAGUGCAUCCCAUAGAUUCUAGGACACUAGAUUCAGUCGCGGAGAGGAUAGGGUCGAAUACUUCAAUGUUACCAACCCAAUGAAACUCUCUCUUCAUCAAAACCGCAAUGCUCAGCUGAAACCUCGGAGAUUCAUAAGCUUCGAUGCUUCCUAUACCAUACACCACCAUCUGAAGCUGUGUUUCAGUGCCUAACACGAGGCGAAACUGGUCUGAAACUUUGAUAAGGUUUAGCUACCUCGAUCUAGAGAACUCUGUAAACUUCUUUAUAAAUUUGAAAUGAGAAAAGGAACACAACUUUGAGUAUGAAAUCUACAACACUCUCAUGGCGAGAAUUGCAGAAGUCAUCAGUCUCAUAGCGACUGUAAAGUAUUGACUCAUGGCGUCAGAUACAAUUAACAUCAAAGCAUGAAGAAGAUAAAAUGAACUUGACAAGUAUUUAUAAGCUGAAUUCAUCUAACUGCAAAGCCUCUGUGAGAUACAGAAGGUCUUCUCUUUUAUUUAAAUUCCCACUCCAACGUUCCCUUCCACGUCAGCCUCACUCUGUUUCCCUCCUGACGCCUUCUUCUUGCGAAAAUAAGUCUUUUGAUACUUAUCAAUACCUCGCCCUUCGAAACCGAGCUUGCCCUCAAGCUCGAAAGAAGGAAAACACGCCAUAAACUCCUUCGACAGCAUCCAAGAAUCAUCUGCAGCAUCCUUCCCUUUCCAAGUCACCAACAACUCCAACUCGCCAUCCACAGAAUAUCGUUUAGCCAAGACAUCCAAAGGUUGCAACGGUGCUUCUGUCUCUGUUGAAAACACCGGUGGCAACGCCGUCACCUCCACUUCAGAACCCACCGCCUUCUUAAGCUGCGACACAUGAAAAACAUCAUGAAUUUUAGACCCUGCAGGUAGCUGCAAACGAUAAGCUACUUUCCCAAUCCUCUCCAAAAUCUUGUAUGGUCCAUAAAACUUGGCAGCCAGCUUAGGACAGAAGCGAGUCGCUACUGACUUCUGACGAUAAGGCCUAAGUUUUAAGAAAACCAAAUCCAACACUUCAAAAGAAACAUCUCGUCUAUGCUUAUCCGCAUGACCCUUCAUUAACUCCUGUGCUCUCUCCAAACAGCUCUUCAAACGACCCAACAUCUCAUCCCUCCGCUGCAAUGAUUCCUCCAACUCAAAGUUCGUAGUGGAACCAGCUUCAAAUGGUAACAAAGCCGGAGGAUCCCGACCAUAAACCACUACAAACGGUGUUGUCUUGAGCGAAGUAUGGUAAGAUGUAUUGAACCAAAACUCAGCCCAACACAAAAAUUUAGACCACAAACGAGGAUGACCCGAAGCAAAGCAUCUUAAAUAUGUCUCCAAGCACCUAUUUAAGACCUCUGUCUGACCAUCCGUUUGAGGAUGAAACGACGUGCUGUACUUCAACUUCGUACCAGCUAGCUUAAAGCUCUCCUUCCAAAAAGCACUCAAAAACACCCGAUCCCUAUCAGACACAAUACUCCGCGGAAAUCCGUGUAAACGGACAAUCUCCUGAACAAACUUCGACGCCACAUCCACAGCAGUAAAAGGAUGCUUUAAACUGAUAAAAUCCCCAUAUUUGCUCAAGCGAUCCACCACAACCAAAAUGACAUUCACUCCUCCUGAUAAAGGUAAACCUUCAAUGAAAUCCAUACUGAUAUCCUCCCACACUUGAUUCGGUAUUGGCAAUGGUUGAAGUAAACCAGCAGGAGAUAAAGUCGAAUGCUUAUGCAUCUGACAGAUUUGGCAAGCAGCAACAUAACCCUGCACCUGUUUCUUCAACCCUUCCCAAGUAAAGGACUGAUGUAUCCUCUUUAUGGUCUUCAAAACUCCAGAAUGACCCCCCAUUUUACUGUCAUGACACUCAUUUAAGAUCAAUGAAAUAAACUGGGAGGUUUUUGGAAUCACCAAUCUCUUCUUCGACCACAAUCUCCCAUCACACACCCUCAGCUUACCCUUCACAGAAGUACCCGACUCCAAGAUCUGAGAAAUCAACUUCUGAAUGCCUGCAUCAUCCGUAAUCUCUUUAUAUAGAUCUUGCCACUGCAGAGUUGUAGGAACUGUAAGAGUCAGCAACAGAGAAGCCAUCGACAUACUCCGAGAAAGGCCAUCUGCUGCUUUGUUCUCACAACCCGGUUUGUACACAAUGUCAAAAUCAAAACCUAACAAUCUUGUUAACCACCGUUGAUAUUCCAUAUUAACUUCCUUCUGCUCCAACAAAUAUUUGAUACUGCGUUGAUCCGUAUGAACCGUGAAGUGUCUGCCUAGCAAAUAAUGCUUCCACUUCCUUACGGCCAUGACCACUGCCAUCAACUCCCGCUCAUAUGCUGGCUUCAGCUGUUCACGCUCCGUUAAAGCAUAACUAAAGUAAGCUAUUGGUUUGUUGUCUUGCAUUAAAACGGCUCCUAAACCCACACCAGAUGCAUCGGUCUCCACCACAAAGCGCUUCGUAAAAUCUGGUAAGGUUAAAACCGGAGCAUGAACCAUAGCAGACUUCAAUGUAUCAAAUGAAUUCUGAGUCUCAGGAUUCCAAGCAAACUGAUCCCUCUUAGUCAAAGUCGUGAGAGGCCUCGCCAUAACCCCAUAACUCUUGACAAACUUACGGUAAUAACCAGUUAACCCCAGAAAUCCACGCAAUUGCUUCACAGUUUUAGGUGUAGGCCACUUCACCAUAGCUUCAGUCUUUGCAGCAUCCGUAGCAACACCCUCCUUGGAAAUGAUAUGUCCGAGAUACUCCACUUGAGUAACCCCAAAAGAACAUUUCUUGCGAUUAGCAAAAAGUGAUUGUUCCCUAAGUCCCUCCAAAACCUUCCUCAAAUGCUCCUCAUGAGCCUCCACAGAACUACUAUAAACCAAAAUAUCAUCAAAGAAGACUAGCACAAAAUUCCUCAAAAACGGUUUGAAGAUCUUGUUCAUAAGAGCUUGAAAAGUGGCCGGAGCAUUCGUCAGCCCAAACGGCAUUACCAAGAAUUCAUAAUGACCCUCCACUGUUCGAAAUGCAGUCUUCUUAAUAUCAUCUUCAACCAUUCUGAUUUGAUGAUACCCUGACCGGAGAUCAAGCUUCGAAAAGAUGACAGCACCAUGUAACUCAUCAAGUAACUGAUCAAUAACCGGAAUUGGGUACUUGUCAGGUAUAGUUGAUUUGUUCAGAGCUCUAUAAUCAACACAAAAACGAAAACCCCCGUCUUUCUUCUUCACCAAAAGAACCGGACUGGAAAAAGGGCUCACACUCGGUCUAAUGAUACCAGCUUCAAGCAUCUCCUCCACCAUUUUUUCCAUAACUACUUUCCUUGAAUGCGGCUAUCUAUAAGGAUGAACUGAAAUAGCAGAGACUCCCGCUGUCAAGUUAAUAGCAUGCUCCUGACCCCGUAGAGGAGGUAAAGCAGUAGGUAGAGCAAAGAUAUCCUCAAAAGAACUCAGUAGUGCUGCUAGACGAGGUUCCACAUCAACUGUAGCUGGUGGAACAAUCGCUGACAGCAACAACUCUUCUCUUCCUGCAAACGGAUCUUGGAACACUGGAGAUAAAGAUUUCAGCGAUAAUUUUGUGCAAUGAAGGGUUGGAUCGCCAAACAAGGUGACCCUCUCACCCUUAUACAUGAAACAAAACUCCUGCAACUUCCAAUCAACCUCACAUUUACCCAAAGUUGCGAGCCAUUUCACACCCAAGAUAACAUCCACAUUGCCUAACUCCAAGACUAUAAACUCCGAACUGAAUGUGGUUGUGUUUAACUGAAACUUCACUUCAGUGCACAACCCAGCUGCUUUCACCAUUACUCCAUUACCCAAUAACACAUCCAUACCACUCGAAUCAUCCAAUCCCAAUCUCAACUUACUCGCUACCUCAGGAGAAAUGAAAUUAUGAGAAGCUCCACUGUCAAUCAUAAAGAUCAACUCUCUCUGCCCAAUCCUUCCACGCAUCUUCGUAGUUCUCGGAGAAUCAAUCCCUAGGAAGGAAUUCAGAGACAAAGUUCUUACUUCACAAUACGCAUUAUGAUCCAUUUCUUGUAAAAUGACAUCAUCUUCCUCCAUAACUUCCAUCUCAAUCCCAUGUACUACAGUCAUCACUCGAAUUUCUUUAUUAGGACAUAUAUGAGCUCGAGACCAAGGAGCUUUACACUUGAAACAAACUUGAUCUCUUCGCAUUGCAUCAAGCUCAGCAUCAGUGUAUUUCAACCUUGGUCGUUGAGUAGACUGUUGAUCACCACCAUUCUGGUUUUUGGAAUCACCAAUCUCUUCUUCGACCACAAUCUACUGUUAUAACGAGCUCCACGGUUGGCAUUAGUGUUGCGAUUAGAGCCAACAACCUCCACAGGAGCCACCUUGCCCACCACCCUACAGAAAGCACUCUUCUCCAUUCUGAGGACGGCUGCAAUGAAAUUGGGAAGACCCUGUGGAUCUUUCAUCUUAAUCACCUCCUUCAUCUCUGUACUCAAACCAUUAUAGAAUAUUCUCUCCAAAUGCCUAUCUUCAAUGCCCGGGACUUGCGUUGAUAAUUCUUCAAACUCACUCACAUAAUCAACUACUGACCCCGUCUGCUUGAUAGAAAACAAUCUCGUACUCGGUUCCUCGUCAAUAGAUUCCGUAAAACGCAAAACCAAUUGUUGUUUAAACUCCAGCCAAGUACGAAAUCCACCCCGACGCAACGCCCAAGCAAACCACUUCUUCACCCUCCCUUCAAUACAUAGUGGAAUCAGAUCUAGUCGCUCAUGAUCAUGAAAGCGACCAACGACAAAGAAAUGCUCAAUAUCCACUAGCCAGUCAAAAACCUUCGAUCCAUCACAACUCGGCAUUUCAAUCUUCUUAAGCAUAUUCUCACGAGUCAUCAGAUUCAAAUCUCCAGAUCUAGAACCAUUCGAGUAAUUGUUCCGAUUCAUCUCCGAGUUACGAAUCGGUACCUGAAACAUCGGACUCGAAGAUUCCGGAGCUCGCGAUCGGAGUUCGCCUUCGUAUUCUUCGAUCGGACGCUUAUCUAACCUCUUCAAGAUCUCCUUCAAGUUAUCCUCAACCGAACUGAACCGCAUCUCAUUCAUCUGAUUAUUCUCCGCCGUUUUCCUCAUCAACAACUUGUACGACUCGUUCAAAAAUUCCACCUCCUUGCGCAUCGAAACAUCCUCCUCCGCCAGAUCGUGCUGAUUCGAGACCUCCGACGGUGACGGACUACGAGAAGGCAUCGCGAUCGACUCAGAACCAGUUUCACCGCACCAAUGAUAAGGUUUAGCUACCUCGAUCUAGAGAACUCUGUAAACUUCUUUAUAAAUUUGAAAUGAGAAAAGGAACACAACUUUGAGUAUGAAAUCUACAACACUCUCAUGGCGAGAAUUGCAGAAGUCAUCAGUCUCAUAGCGACUGUAAAGUAUUGACUCAUGGCGUCAGAUACAAUUAACAUCAAAGCAUGAAGAAGAUAAAAUGAACUUGACAAGUAUUUAUAAGCUGAAUUCAUCUAACUGCAAAGCCUCUGUGAGAUACAGAAGGUCUUCUCUUUUAUUUAAAUUCCCACUCCAACGUUCCCUUCCACGUCAGCCUCACUCUGUUUCCCUCCUGACGCCUUCUUCUUGCGAAAAUAAGUCUUUUGAUACUUAUCAAACUUCUGGAGACUUGAGCUGUUCUAUUAAAGCAGUGUAGAAUUUUGAGCUCUCGAGUUUCUUGAUGGAGCUUUCCAUCUUCUUCUUUAAUCUCGCUUGCCUCUGUAUAUCAACUUCAAGAUCAUCUGACUUCCAUGGUUUCUCUUCUUCUUCAUGAACCUUAGGUUUUGGUUUUCUCCUCCCUUGUCUUCUUUUACUAGGUAAGACCACUGUCCACUCACCAUCACUACUUGGGUUUUUAACGGGUGCUCCCAUAAAAAACUGACCUAAUCACACAGGCCUUUAAAAUUAGGGUUUAUACUCGAUGCAAUGAUUCCUACAUGUAUCAAUCGCUUUGCACAGAUCCGAUUUAUCUACUUGGAGAUCGAUAAAGCCUUGGAAGGAACAUGAAUGAAACUUACGAUCAGAAACGAAACCAGAAGAGGAUGAUCGAAUAAGCUUUCUUGCGGUUCAGGAGAAGACGAAAAUUAAUGCUUGGAAUGUGAAGCAACCGAGUGGACUCAGUGAGACAUCGGGGUUGUGUUUCGUCCGACCGAGACCUCAGACCUGCGUCGAGUAUGAAACCAGCGUGAUUGGUACAAGAAAAUGAGGAAACAGACGAUGGGCUGGAGGGAAAGUUAUUGCUGCCCAUGUACCGGCCCAUUAAGUAAAAGACUAGACGACAUUUGGCGAAAGUCGAAUUACGCCGGUAUUUAUUACAUGAAUAACAUAUUUGUUUAAACUUUGUCAGAAAUAAACCUAUGCAUUUUACCCGAAAAUUAUAAAAUACAUAUUCAAUUCGGAUCAUGGUUUAAGUUUUAGUAGAGGUGGACAAAAUAUCUGUAAAUUUUAAUUUGAUUUGUUAUUUAUAUCGAUUUGAACAAAUAAAAAGAAAAAUUGCCACAAAUACCACAUUCAUAGUAUCACUUUUCAUGUUUACACUAACUUGAUUCUAAUAAAUAUAUAAAUACUUAAAAAAUAUAUAAAAAAUUUUAAAAAAUAGUUUCAAACAUAAUUUUCGUUUUUCAAAAAUAAAUUUGAAAAAAAAAAAAUAAUCGAAAAAAAAAUUCAAAAAAAAAAUUUAUAAAAAAAAUCGAAUUUGAAAAAGUAUAUUUCGAAAAAUAAAAAAAGUUUACAUUUUUUUUUUAAUUGUUUUAUUUUUUUAUUGUUUUUUUUUAUUUUUUAUUUAAAUAAUAAUUUAUUAUAUAUAUAAAUAACAAGGGCAUAAGAGUCUUUUAUCACUUAAUGAAGAAAUUAUUUUUGAAAAUAUCUCAUUAGUGGUGGUAAAAAUGAAAAAUGAUACCAUGAAAGUGGUAAACAUGUAAAUUCCCAAAAAAAAAUUGAAUAUUUGUAAACUUCCGACUUAUUUUUGUAUUUUGGAUUUCUUAUUUAUUUUUAUUUUAUUUAUUACAUCGAAUCGGAUAUCCGGUUAAUACUAAAAAAAAUUAGAUAUCCGAAUCACUGAAUAUCUAAAUAACUGGAUCGAAUCAAAUCAUUCUGGUGGGAAUUUUCUCAUUCAUUAGAAAUAUUCUUUGAUUGUGUUAAGAGGGUCACACACCAAUAAACUCCCAGCCAGCGGAAGAAAGUGACAUUCCAACAAUAAAGCCAAUACAUUAUGUUUUUUUUUUCCUUUCUAUGGCCAAGAAGGGUUCAGUGUGUUUUUAAUUAUUAUUUAAGAUUCAAAGAGUUAUAGUUUUAGGCUUUUAGCCUUUUAGCCAUUAGUGCUCUGUCUCAUUUAAUUUCCACAAUGUUUUUUAGCCUUUUAGCCAUCAGCAAUUCAAGAGCAGAUUUAGCAGAGAACAUGAACACAUGCAGCAACUGACUCUGACAGACCUUUUAAUUUCCCCUACAAAGUCUUUACAGCCUUACUCAGAAACUAAAAUGGCCCUAUUAGACACUGUUGAGCUGUUUGCCGUGGUGACAAAGUGACAAUAAUUGAAGUUACUUAAAGGGUUCAAGUGAUGGAACUAGUUGGUCUCAGCAACUGUAGUUGAGAAUCUCAAGCCUUUCAUUUAGAGUAACCCGGACAAAAUGCUUGUCUCCAAAUAAGGAAAGUCUUUUAUUUAGUGAAAACUGCCAAAACAUUACACUUCAUAUAGAAAUUACAUCCCUUUUUCUAUGCUAUUUUGGUAAAUAAUGCCAAAAAAGUUAGAAGUAUAUUCUAAUACACUUUUGACUUUGUUGCUAAAUGGAACUCUUCAUCUUUAAGGAAUUGAUGAAGUCGUCUAAUGAGCUGCAUGAGGAACCUCCACUUCUAAUAGAGGAUUCAAGCUUCUCUUUCAAUUCAAUAGCUCUCUUCCUCAUAUAUGCUCCUUCUUCAUCCACAAGCAAUCUCUUCACAGCUCUCUCCACAACUUCUUUCUCAAGCUCUCCCUCUAAUUGAACCCCAAUUCUCCAAACAUUCUCCAAGUACCUAGCAUUGACUGGAUCCCAUCAGGAUCUCGGAUACUGAAUCCGGAAGGGGACGAAGACCCGAUCCGGAUAAUGUCGAGUUCCAUCCACAGUGACUCCAAAACCCUCCUACUGCAGGAUGUUUGAGAACUUCCAUCUGUGGGGCCCAUUUAACAAUGUAACCUCUCUCUGAGACCAGCUUGGUGAACUCCUCUGGGUUUACAUUUUUUUUUUAAUUGUUUUAUUUUUUUAUUGUUUUUUUUUAUUUUUUAUUUAAAUAAUAAUUUAUUAUAUAUAUAAAAAUCACCCACAAGAAAUGUUGGUUGCUAUUACUCAACCCCCAAGCCAUCUCUAACAUGUCUUUGGCUUCCAUCAAAGCUAAGCUUCCUAAGCUUAUGUAUAUAACUGAUGUUGGUUUCUGCAUGUUCAACCACUCGAUGCAGCUUCUGUCCUCUUCAAUCAAACUAGAAGGUGCAAAAGCUGCAAUGUGAAGCGGGCCUAUAGGAUAUACUGGAACCUGUAGUUGUCGUUGCAACCGUGCCAAAGAAGAGCUCUCUAGACAGUUUGCUGUAUUAAUGAUAACAGCUGAAGCUGUUCCAGUGUUAACAGUUUCACUGUAAACACGUGGAAUACUCUCUAUUGGUCCAAAAGCAGAAGUUGGUAGGUCCUUGUACCUUAAAGGAUGCAACCCUGGAAACAGCUUGUCUUGCAGUUCAAGAUCUGCAUAAAUCAAAUGGGUUUAGUCUUAAAUGGAUUUUAAAGACAAGAGUGUUGGAAACAGAAUUUCUACAAUCAAAAUGCUGGGAGCCAAGGGAUAUGAUCAGGAGGCGAUGGGGAGAUGGUUUGCUUCCAGAUGACAUAUGAUUGCUUUUAAAAGCUUAUACUCAUUUGUAUAAAACAUUUAGACAAUAACGCAUUCAUUGUAAAAAAAGUUUUGUUUUUAGUUGAAUAAAUUUAACAUUCAUUAAAAAAAAGACGAUUUAAGGAUUGUGUGCACCUUUCAUGUCGAUCAAGAACUUAUCUGCGUUGACUUUGGCAAUAACAGAGCGGCAGAGAAAGGCAGUAGCACUUGUAGUACUGAAGACAACACUAGGAAGUUGAAACUCCUUAGCAGCAGCUUUUGAGAGAGACAUGUACUCAUCGUAGAUGACACAAGCAAUCUCAUCAUUGUCACCUUGUUCCUUCAAUAUCUGACCUAAACAUUGCUUGAAGCUUGCCUCGCAGGCUUGAUUGAGCUUCAUCAAAAAUUGGACUGGUCCGAGGUUUUUGAGAUCAGAAUCUGUUAAGCUACCAGGGAUGGUGAGAAAGUUAAAGUCAGAGAAGUCUUUGGAAGAGCUAACUCGAUUAUACUGUGUCUGAAUAACGGUGAUGGAGAAGCCUUUAGAGUGAAGAGCUUUCCCAAGUUGCAUAAUAGGAGUGACAUGUCCUUGUGCUGGUACUGGAACCAACACUAUCCUUCUCUUCUUGACUAGCUUUUCAUCCAUAUUGUGUAGGAAUGGGAGACAGAUAUGAGGAUACUAUUACAUCGAGAGAUCUAGGAUCUGAAUAUGAUAUAUAGUUAGGAGACUUAAGACACGUGAGAUAUACAUUCACUGUUCCUGUGGUCUCAAGAUUUUUAAAUUUAUUUCUUAGUUGGAAAAUUCAGAUCUGAUGGUUAGGGGAAGCUUUAAAAACUUUUCUUUAUUAUGUGCAAGGACCAGCAGAAGCACAAGCACGUGGCCGGUGGCUGGACUAUUAAGUAAUAAAGAUUCUGACUUAUAAGCUUGUCUUCUUUCUGAUAAAGUCUAUCUUCUCUUUGGUGGAUAAUAUCAACAUAAAAUGUUAAUGAUGAAAUGGUCUUCCGUCAUUGAGAAAGUUUUCGGCGUGAUUGAAAGACUUCAUGACAAAGUAAAAAGGAAAGAUGUUAACACAUCGCUCAUUCUUGUUGGCGCUAUCCAGAUUUGUUUAGCUAUAUCUCGAAGCUUAUCACAGUUGACAAAGUCAUCUGUCGUUUACUUUGGUUAUGUAAAAUACAACUGUAUAUGAGUUGUGUAAGUUCCAUAACUUUAGGUUGGAGUAGCUAGUUUUGUCUUUUUCAUAAUUUUAGGUUUGGUUUUCAUAAUGGGUUUGGUUUGUCGUUUCUUUUUGUAGUUGGAGAUUACGUAUUCGAUUACGUAUGUCUCUAUUUAUAGUAAUAUCCGAGUCGUUUUUUUCCACCAAAUGAAUCACAUGGCAUGUGAUGAGUUUUAUUUAUUGAACCUAAUCAUUGGAAAAAUACCGGUCUUGACGUACAAUACAUUCAUUUUAAUUACGGGAGCAGUUUCAUUUCUUGUAACAAAUUUGUUUUCCUUUGGAAAAGAAUCUGGCAGUUACACCAAGUUACUGUAACAUGGUGAAAAACAUUAAACAUCCCAACUAUAAGAAUAUGUCAAUAAUUACACUAGAUUUAUGUUAAUCCAUACCCAGACCGGCUUAAAUACAUUAUGGGCCUUGUGCAGACAUAUUUUUUUCCUCGAAAGUUGUAAUGAUAUUUCUUUAAAUUUACAAAUUAAGACCCUAAUCUAUAUGCUGUUUAACAAAUUAGGACCCUAAUUCUUAAACAAAAAUUUUCAAAACACUGAAGGAUCCUGUGCAUGUGCACCUUGAGCACACCCCAAGAGCCGGCACACUCCAUACCAUAUAUACAAAGUAAAUAAUUUUACGGUGGAAACAUCAAAAUCAAGUUUAAUUGAUUUUGACUUUAAUAAAUAGAAUUAAUCCAUAAAUUAUUAAACUUAAACCUGAUUAACUAAAGCGAGAUCUGACCAGACUCAUUAAACACGAUAUGUGUAUGAAAUAACAUUUUUGUUAGCCCAAAUUGUAAUUUAUUUAGGGUUCAUAAGAAAAAAUUGACUUGGGGGGAAACAUAGAGAGAGAGAGAGAGAGUCGAUUUAUAUUCCUUCGUAAUAUUGAAGAGUUGAUUCGGCUUUAGGGUUCGACAGUGGAGAAAAUACGUCAAGUCUUGAGGGUCACUUUGUUGAAGAGUUAAUUCAUGUGUCAUAGUAAGAUUUCAGAGGAUUCAGUCAAAGCAACAAAGUCAAUCAUAUUCGGAAUCACAACUGUAGAACCUUCGACCCAAAAUUUUUUUAGUCCAAGCUUGAGAUACAACCCACAUAAACAGAGCACUUUACCUUCACUCCCUUGCUCCAUCGUGUUUUGUCUGAACCUCCACCCAAUUCCAUCUCUCUCUCUCUCUCUCUCUCUCUCUCUCUCUCUCUCCCUCUCUCUCUCUGUGUGUGUGUGUGUGUGUGUGUGUGUGUGUGUGUGUGUGUGUGUGUGUGUGUGUGUGUGUGUGUGUGUGUUAGAAAUCCCCAAUUUCUUUUCUUACGAACCCUAAGUAAAUCGAUUUGGGAAAAUAAGAGUUGCAUUUGAUCGUGUUUUAUGCGUUUGAUCGGGUUUUAUGCGUUGGAUCGGGUUGGAUUUACUAAUACAGAGUAAGUUUAAUACAUUACUGAUUGACCCACUAACUAAGUUUAAAAUAAAUUAAACAUGAUUAUGAUGUUCCUAAUACAGAGUAAUUUAGGAUGUACGAUAAUUUAAUGUUUUUAUUGAUAAAUAAAUGUUAUUUUAAUAAUUUUCGUCUUUGAGUGCUAAUUUUCUUAUAAACACUAAAAAAUGCUUUGUAAAAAAUAUUAAUAUGUAUGUAUGAUACAAACUGCAAAAAACAUUUGAUUGGUUUGAAAAGAUAACCUAUAGAAAACUAUUUUCCAUACACUCGAAAAUAGAAAAACCCUAAUUCACUGAUUUUCUGUGAGAAAUAAUUAGAAAAUAUAGUAAGAUAUACAGUUCUGGUAAAAUAAUUCUUUAGGAUAACGUUUUUAAUUAUUUUCACAAAAAGAGUUCACAAUAAAGAAAAUGACCAAAAAAGUUUUAUUAAAUGGUAACUAACCCGAAACUUUGGGUUUAGAAUUAAUUGGGCGGUGUUUAUUUUUUCUAAAUAGAACAUAAAUAUUAAAAAUUUGAAAAUAAAAUAAUUUCAAAAAUAAUUUUUUUACAAAAAUUGAGAAAAUAUUCGAUUUUUUGGAAAAAGUUCGAAUUUGAAAACAUAUAUUUAAAACAUAUAUUUUUUUGUUUAUUAUUAUUUUUAUAUAUAUAUAAAGGGGUAGAAAUGUAUUUUGCUUUUUUUGUGAAAUAUUUUUUAGUCAUUUUAUUUAUUGAGAGUUCUUUUGUAACAAAAUAUUAAAAGAGGCUAUUUGAGAGAAUUGCCCAUUAUGACAUGUGGUUUUAUUUUAACUGAAUUUAACAUUUUACAAUUCAAAAUAGGCUAAAAAUCCCUAGACAUUAUUUGUGAAAUGAUUUUGAAUUUUGCUUAUGUGUCAUUACCCCAUACAUUUUCAUUAGAAAAAGAUGACAUGGCUUAGUGAAAUGAUGACAUGACUUAAAGCUAAUUAUGACAUGAACAUUCACACUUAAUGUUAAUAUAUAUUUUUGGUAAGUUUUUUUUAAAAUAAGGUAAUAACCCAUAUAUCAUUAUUAAUAUAACAUUAAAUCAUAUAACAAUAGAAAUAUAACUAUAAAAAUAUUUUACAAAAUUUGAAAUAUUAUUUAAUUUUUUUUUUUUUAUAAUUAUAAACUUUUAUUUCUCAAAAAUUCUUACAGUUUUAAAUAUGCAUGGGCGUUCGGUUUUCGUUUCGGUUCCGGUUAGGUUCUAUCGUUUUCAGGUUUUCGGUUCUAGAGAUAUAAGAACCAUUCGGUUAUCUAUGAAACUCGGUUCGGAUAUCAAUUAUAAGAACCGGCUAAUAUCCAAUAAACUUUUGGUUCCAAUUUGGUUCCGGUUUUUUGGUUACUUUUAGAUAUUUGGGGGUACAAAAACAGAUUUUCAGGUUUUUAGAUUAAAAAUCGGAUAAUUUUUAAUAUUUUGGAUAAAAUUAUUCAGGUAGUUCGCUUCUUUAGGAUCAUUCGGAAAAUUUUAAAUAUUUUGAAUAAAAAUUAUUUGGGUGAUUCGGUAUAUAAGUAAUAUUUUAGAAUAUUUGUUAGUUUUAGUAAUAUAUAUAUUUAAUGUUUUAUAUAAAUUAUAUUCUGGAUAUUCAGAUAUCCAUUCGGUUUUCGGUUUGGUUCCGGUUUGGCGUUUGGUUCUCGGUUUUUAUGCCCAUGCAUAGUUUUAAAGUUGUAAUUAUCUUAAUCCUUAUACCAUUAGUUUCUUUUUCAUAUCUACAAAUUUUAAAAUACCAUUUAGUUUUACGUUUUGAUAAUUAUAUAUCUAAAAAAAUUUCUCUUAAUUUUAUAUAAUUUGAUUUUUUAACCAAAAGAAUUAGAUAAAAAUCUAUCCAAGAUUACAAUUUAAAUAUGCACAUAUAUAUUGUUAAAUAUAAAUUUAAAAUAAAAAAUAGUUAAUUUAUCUUAAUUUUUACUUUUAAUUAAAUAAAAUUUAAAUUAAAAUAUUGGUAAGCCAAUAAUGAAAUCCAAAACAUUAAUAAAUUUUAUUUUUAAUUAUUAUCCAAAUUAAAAAAAAACUUUUAUUUAUGCACAUAGUGCGUGAAAACCCUUAGGGGGUUGUAUUGAAUCUGUUAUUUCAAGUGAUUUGAUAUUUAGUGAGUUUUUAGAUGAUUUUAGUUGAAUCUGAGAAUUUGGGGUGAUUUUUGUUAAACAACUCUAGAAUCUCAUCUAAAACAAUGAGAUUUGGAUUUUAAUUUACUCUAAACACAAUGAAAGCACUCUAAAAUUUCCGAUUUAAAUUUUGUUCAAUAACAGUGGAUUUCAGACUGUUUUAUGAAAUGACAAGUUCAAUAACACUGAAUUUUAAAAUGAUUUUUUAAAUCCACAAUUGAAUAACAGUAGAUUUGUCAUUUUAAUACAAAUCAUUUCAAAUUCCUAGAUGAAUACCCCUUGGUACAUUUACAUAUAUCAACUUCGACCAUUCGAUUUAUUUUUAGCUUAGAACUUCAUAUCUUCUUAUUUAGCUUGAGCAAAUGAGUAUCUAUCUUGUUUCUAGGAAGAUACAGCCAUUUGAUAAAACAUUCAAUGUUGUAAUUUUAAAGUGUUUUUUGCUGAUCAAAAUCUAAGCUAUAUUUGAUGAUCAAAGCCAGAAGAAACCAUAGGAUCAAACAGUAUUUACCCAGCUGCUGCCUGGAACCCUACUCAACUUCUUCUUCUUUAUCAUCUUCUUCAUCCUAACAACACUUCCCCAACUACCAGCAUUGGCAUACAAACUGGACAGAAGCAAUCUAUUCCCUGAGUUCUCUGGUUCAAGCUCUGCUAAGCGCUCUGCUGCAAUCCUUGCAAGCUCGAUGUUCCCAUGAUUCCUACACGCACCCAACAAAGCACCCCACACAAACAAGUCCGGCUCCAUUGGCAUAGCCCUGAUCAUCUCAUAGGCCUCAACAACCUUCCCUUCUCUCCCCAAAAGAUCCACCAUACAAGCGUAAUGCUCCAACCUCGGCUCGAUUCUGUACUUGUUCUGCAUCAAAAGGAACAGCUUCUGUCCAAGAUCAGUUAACCCGCCGUGGCUGCAGGCUGUGAGGAUGGCCGUGAACGUUAAGUGGUCGAGUCUGUCUCCCGUUGCUUCCAUCCGUUCAAAAAGCUUAACUGCUUUCUCUGAGAGCCCGUGGUUUGCGUAGCAGAAGAUCAUCGAGUUGAAAGUAACCGUUGUCUUCUUAGUAGUUUUGUGAAACAAGAUCAUUGCUUCUGAAAUGAAACCGCAUUUCCCGUACAUAUCGAGCAAAGCACUUCUAACGAAACCGUGGUCUUCAAGUCCACUCACUACCGAGUAGCCGUGAAUCUCCUUUCCAUGCUUCACACUCGCGAGUGUGGUACAAGCAGGCAAAAGGGUAGUGAUGGUAGCUGAGUUUGGAUACAACCCGUGAGCUAACAUCUGUUUUAAAGCAUCUAAAGCUUUAGAGUUCUGAAAGUUAUGCACAAGGCCUGAUAUAAUAGAGGUCCACGACACAACGUCAGGCUUGUGACCAUCCAAACACAUCAUCUCAAGCAUCUCAGAUACUUUUUCUUCAUCUCCGAUAUGCGAGAAACCUGCAAUUAAAGCAUUCCAAGUGAUAACAUCAGGUUUUAUCCCCAGUAGUUCCAUAUCUCCCAUCAAGUUCAAAGCUUCAUCUGCUUGGCUAUUGUUAGCAUAACCAGAGAUCAUAGCAUUGAACACGACCAAAUCUUGUCCGGAAGAAUCCUUAAACACCUUCCUCGCAUUCUCAACCUCCCCGAACUUCGAAUACAUAUCAAUAAGCGAGCUAACUAUAAAACCAUCAGACUCAAACGAACACUUGAGCACCACACAAUGCAUCAUCUUCCCAAACUCUUGGUCAAGCAGAUUGCGACUUGCUUUAAGAACACUAGGAACGAUGAAAGCAUCAAGCUUUAAACCUUCUCCAUUCAUUUCUUUAAAGACAUCCAGAGACUCUUGGUAAUACCCGUUACGAGAACAAGUCCCAAUCAUGACAACCCAUCCACUAAUGUCUCUCUUGGGCAUUUCAUCGAACACCUUCUUAGCAUCUGUAACUUCCCCACAUUCCACGUAAAACGCCACAAGCUUAGCUGCAAUUCUCGUUAAGCGAGCAAGCCCGGAUGUCACCAGGUGAGCAUGAAGCUUUCUUCCUUGGGACAAGAGUCGAUCUCGACCGUUGGUUUCGAUGAGUUCAACAUAAGAACAUAACCGAAGAGAAGAAGGAUUGGUGGAGAAUCUUUUCAUGGAUGAGAAUAAAAGCUUCAAGCUUUACAGAAACAGCAUUACGAUGGUACAUUCCAGUGACGGAAGUAAAAAAAAAAAUCAGAGUUAUCGGACAGAGAAGGAAUAAGCAAAAACAGAGUUAUACGGAACGAACCGGUUUGCAUUUCACGGUUGAUAUAUAUAACCGGAAAUGUAAGGAUCGGUUAAACGGAUUGUCCAAAAAGGAGGAAACUCGAUCCAGUGAACCGGAAAGAAGUAUGUAUGCAACAUCUUCGACUCUGUUUCCACCACAAAGUCUCUUCCUUUCUCCUCAUCUUCCUCCAAGAACCUUCCUUUAUCGGUUGAAUUUUCUGGGUUUUCCUGUAAGAAGUUGCUGCUGUGGCGGCGGUUUUAGUGGCGGUUCGUUCUGUGAUCGACGGAGUUAUGGUCAAAGACGGAGGAAAAGAGUCAUAGUACCGAAAGCUCGAGUCUCUCCUUACGAGGUACUUGGUGUGUCUCCGUCAGCGACACCUCAAGAUAUAAAGAGGGCUUACCGUAGACUUGCUCUCAAGUAUCACCCAGAUGUCAAUAAAGAGGUACUUUUUUUUUUUUUUUUUUUUUGUUUUUUUUGCUCCAUUUGUGAAAUUUAUGGAAUUGGAACUCUGUGUGGAUGCUUGCAUAUGAAUUCAAAGUUAUGGACUUUUGAUGAUGUAUCUCUGUACCUCCUUGUAGUUAGUUGAUGGACUCCAGUUUACUUUACUACUUAGUCUCUGUCUGUCUGUAUGGAAGAAAGUAUGAGACUUACCUCGUGUUUAUUUGGUGAACAGGCAAAUGCGCAGGAGAAGUUUCUGAGGAUAAAACAUGCCUACACCACUUUGAUCAACUCUGAGUCACGGGGCUCAGAUAGUCCUGCGUCUGGUUAUUCGGGUCAAACAAACCAAAAAGGCAACAGUCAAGUCGAGGAAGAUUUCUAUGGACUUGGUAAAACCCUAACUAAACCCUGAAUAAACCGUACUCGUAAAUGAAAUGUGGUCAUUGUUUUUGCAAAGUGGGAAGCUUUUUCUAUGAAGCAUACUGCUAUUCUAUGGCUUGACUUCACUUUGCAUUUUUGUUUGGCCAUGGUGUAGAAGUAUUCAUGGAAGUUUUUAGCGGAAAUGCUAAAUAGGGCUUGUGAAAAUGUGCAUAAAGUUUCGAAAAUUGAUUUGAAUUAGAGGCACCAUUUGAUGGCGCUAAUGAAUGUGGUUAGAAGUGUUAUGUGUUGUCAUCUUUUGGGGGUGGGAGUUAGGAUGAUUGAGGUUAGAGUGAUCUUAUGUACAUCACACUUUAUCAUGCAGGUGAACUCGUGAGGGAUGUUCAAAUAACAGUAGGUAGACGCAACCUGUGACAUCUAUUUUCUUACUGUCGUUUUCUUGCACGUCUAGAAAAUUUUAUGCACAAGAAUUUGUAGUUAAUUAUUCAUUUAAGAGGCUCACUCUAUGUGGUAAUAAUGGCAGGGGAUUUCUUCAAAGAUCUUGAAGAAGAGUUCAAGAACUGGGAAGCUAGUGCGUCCUCCUCCUCCCAAGGAACACCAAAAAGUCUUUGGGAGGAACUAGCUGUAAGCUCAAUAAUAUCUUACUACUGAUUACUCGUAGUCUCUCAAAGCUUUGAUCUUCCCUCAGUUUUGAUGGCUCUCAUGUUAACAUCUUUUUUUUUUUUUUUCAGGAAAUUGGGGAAGAAUUUGUGGAGUUUCUUGAGAAAGAACUUAGCAUAAGCGAUGAAGACAAUGAUGGACCAAGCAAAAAAGGAGAAAGAUUUGAUUUUAGCGAAAGCUCCUCAACGAGCACGAAGAACAGUAUAGGAGUGAAUAUUGAUGAGAUAGAAGCAACCCUAGCUCAACUCAAAAAAGAUCUUGGCUUGCAAUAACAAUCCUACUAAGAAGUUGCAUGAAAAAUGUUAUUGUAUUCUGAUGUUUGUUUCUUUCAACCCAUAGAAAGAAGUGUACAUAUAUUUCUUAUAGAAUCUUAUUUCAUCAAAGCAAUAUAUUAUUUCAUCAAAGAAAAAUGUUAUUGUAUAAGAUGAGAUCAUGAUUUACAGAAAAUAUAUAAUUGCAAUAAGAAAAAUCAAGAUAUGUUUCAAAACGAAAAGAAAAACUCUGAAAGUAGUUAUACACUACCUAUACCUAUAAAUACGAAUCCCUUCUUCUCCACAUGUCUCAUCAUUAUUAUCACUCACAGAAUUAAUCUCAUUCUGUAGAAUCAAGGCAUAUGGCAAACGCUGAUCCCUUCUCAAUGUCUACACUACUCACUUCUUUACAACAUCUACCUUUCACCUCCGCAACAGAACCCAUGAUUCCGGCGGUUCCUCCUCCUUCACGUGGCAUUCCCGUCGUCAUCCCUCAACCAAGAUACCACGGUAGUCAACCUCUAAACAACUCAUUCCCCGUCGGAUUCUUAGCUCCUCAGUACCUGGAGUCUCGUUUGCAGUCGCUGUUCAACCUCAUGACUAGCACCAUAGAAGAAGUUAACAUUGCUCCGUUCAAAGAGAUGAUCUCAAGGUUGUCCAGAAGAGAGCUUCAAGAGAUGGCGUAUCUGCUGACGUCAGAUCCCGACUACUUCUUGGCGAUCGCAAGAAACAAGAACGGCUCUCACCGCCUUCAGAAACUCAUCGGAAAAUCAGACGACGCGGACAACUUGUUCUUCCUCGCGAUCUUCCGCCGCUUCCUCCACGUCAUGACCGAUAAGUACGCGUCCUACGUGGCGGUACGAGGAAUGCAAGUUUUUGACGACGAGAAGAAAGAGUUGAUGUACGAGCACAUUCUCCCCCACGCGCUUCGACUGGCAUGUGACAAACACGGCCACAUCGCCCUCAACGAGGUAAUAACCGACUUGGACCAUCCUUUCUACAGAGAGCAGCUCUUGGACAUUGUCGCGCUCAACGCUCUCUUGCUGAGCUACGAUGCUUAUGGGAACUAUGUGGUCCAACACGUGCUUACACUGUAUGACUUGCGUUGCACGUAUAACAUUGCGGUUAGUCUUCUUGGCUAUUGCGUUGAGCUCUCGUUCGACAAGUGUGGAAGCUACAUCGUGGAGAAGCUUUUGGAGACGGAGGAGUCGAUGGUUCUUGUGGUGGAAGAGCUUUUGGAGUGCGAAGGAGGCAGGUUGAUGAGGCUGGCGAGGAAAGAGAUUGGGAGUUUCGUGGUGAUCAAGGCACUGAGAGUCAUGCAGGAGAUGAAUAGGGUUGAUCUGUUUAGGGGUUUGGUGCAGAAGCUGAUGCCUUUUCGCCAUCUCUUGCGUAGGCCUUGUGGAAACACUACUAUAGCAGCAAUCAUUGAGUCGGUUUGUUAGUUCUGUGUCAAACUAGUUAAUUAUGUUUAUCUGUUUUAGGGUUUAGAUUUGGUUCAUGUACUUACUACGAUGCAUGCUUGAAAGUUGUCGAUUUUAUGGUUGGUUAGUGAGGUUUGUCACUAGUGAUGUAAACAGUUCACUUGCUUACUGAAAUCUAUGGUUUGACGACCAAAACAAGUUUUCAGUUAAUCAUGUUCCUCUUUAACUAUCCAACUAGGUUAAGACCCGCGCCUUGCGCGGGAUAAAUAUUAUAUAUAUUUUUUUCUACUUAUGUAAUUUCUUAAUAAUUUGUAUCUUGUUAUAACAUAAAUUUUAUGUAAUUUCGUAAUCAUUUGUAUGUUGUUAUAACAUAAAUUUUAAACUAUGGAUCACAAAAUUUCAAUGUGAGGUAUUUAACAACUUUAGUCAUUUAUAUUCGUUUUUAAAAAUUCAAAAUACAACAUACAGGAAAAAAAUCUAAUUUUUUAUUAUAUAGUUAAUGUGGUUGUUUAAUUUAUUUUAAUAAGUUAUUUUUUUUUAAAUGAUAGAGAAUAGACUAAGUUUUAUCAAAUCUUUAUUAUUCAAAUCAUUAAUUGUCAUAUAUACUUUAGCCACAUUAGGUAAUUCCGUGAUU
rnacentral:lncRNA from 1 species